ACGAACGCUGGCGGCGUGCUUAACACAUGCAAGUCGAACGGUGAAGCGCCUUCCUUUUUGGUGGGUGUGGAUGAGUGGCGAACGGGUGAGUAACACGUGAGUAACCUGCCCCCUUCUUCUGGAUAACCGCAUGAAAGUGUGGCUAAUACGGGAUAUUCUGGGUCUGUCGCAUGAUGGGUCUGGGAAAGAUAUUGUUUCGGUGGGGGAUGGGCUCGCGGCCUAUCAGCUUGUUGGUGGGGUGAUGGCCUACCAAGGCGGUGACGGGUAGCCGGCCUGAGAGGGUGGACGGUCACACUGGGACUGAGACACGGCUGAGACUCCAACGGGAGGAAGCAGUGGGGAAUAGUGCACAAUGGGCGCAAGACUGAUGCAGCGACGCCGCGUGAGGGAUGGAGGCCUUCGGGUUGUGAACCUCUUUCGCCAGUGAAGCAGGCCUGCCUCGUUUGUGGGUGGGUUGACGGUAGCUGGAUAAGAAGCGCCGGCUAACUACGUG
rnacentral:rRNA from 1 species